rnacentral:rRNA from 1 species
UACGAAGGGUGCUAGCGUUGUUCGGAAUCACUGGGCGUAAAGCGCGCGUAGGCGGCUUGUCAAGUCAGGGGUGAAAUCCCACAGCUCAACUGUGGAACUGCCUUUGAAACUAGCAAGCUUGAGUGUCGGAGGGGAUAGCGGAAUUGCUAAUGUAGAGGUGAAAUUCGUAGAUAUUAGCAGGAACACCGGUGGCGAAGGCGGCUAUCUGGACGACAACUGACGCUGAGGCGCGAAAGCGUGGGGAGCAAACAGG